UAUCUCUGUAGAGUCUGCAUAUCAAUAAGCGGAGGAAAAGAAACUAACUAGGAUUCCCUCAGUAACGGCGAGUGAAGCGGGAAGAGCUCAAAUUUGAAAUCUUCAAGGUUCUACCUUGACGAAUUGUAGUUUAAAGAAGUGUUUUCUGUUGGAGUUUUGGUAAAAGUUCUUUGGAAUAGGACAUCAUAGUGGGUGAGAAUCCCGUAUUUGACCAUUAUUUCCAGCUUUGUGAUACACUUUCAAAGAGUCGGAUUGUUUGGGAAUGCAGUCCAAAAUGGGUGGUAAAUUUCAUCUAAAGCUAAAUACUGGCGAGAGACCGAUAGCGAACAAGUACCGUGAGGGAAAGAUGAAAAGAACUUUGAAAAGAGAGUUAAACAGUACGUGAAAUUGUCAAAAGGGAAGCGUUUGACACCAGUGUUGUUUUCUCGAAAAUCAAUUAAAAAAGGCAGGAUUUUGUGUUGUAUUGACUUUAUCAGCUUUCUGCACUCUUUUCUUGUCUUUUUUAAUGCACUUUUCGUUUAACAAGUCAACAUCAAUUUCUUUUGUUGUAAAAGGGUCAUUGGAAGGUGGCUUUCUUUUCGGAGAAAGUGUUUAUAGCCUUUGGCCUCUGCAAUCGGAGAGAUUGAGGUCUGCAGCGUAGAUCCUUCGGGGCUAGAUACAUUAGAUGCUAAGUUAUAGCUUUUUAUAGACAACUUGUUGACUAUGAUUAAGUCAUGUAGCUUACUCGUUAUGCCUAUUUUACCUACGCUUAGGAUGUUGACGAUCAGCUGAGCGCG
rnacentral:rRNA from 1 species